GGCAAACCGAGCGGUGCGUGGGAUAAU
rnacentral:sRNA from 1 species